rnacentral:rRNA from 1 species
GUCUUUUUGAAUUAAAUUUAAAGUCUAACCUGCCCACUGAAAUUUUUAAAUGGCCGCAGUAUCCUAACUGUGCAAAGGUAGCAUAAUCAUUAGUCUUUUAAUUGAAGGCUGGAAUGAAUGGUUGGACGAGAUAUUAACUGUUUCAUUUAAAUUUUUAACAGAAUUUUAUUUUUUAGUGAAAAAGCUAAAAUUAAUUUAAAAGACGAGAAGACCCUAUAAAUCUUUAUAUUUUGUUUAUUUUAAUUAUAAAGAUUAUUUUUAUUAUAAUAAAUUAAAAUAUUUUAUUGGGGUGAUGUUAAAAUUUAAAAAACUUUUAAUUUUAAAAUCCAUUAAUUUAUGAAUAAUUGAUCCAUUAAUAAUGAUUAAAAAUUCAAGUUACUUUAGGGAUAACAGCGUAAUUUUUUUGGAGAGUUCAUAUCAAUAAAAAAGAUUGCGACCUCGAUGUUGGAUUAAGAUAUAAUUUUGGGUGUAGCCGUUCAAAUUUUAAGUCUGUUCGACUUUUAAAUUCUU